rnacentral:ribozyme from 1 species
AAGGAGUGGAAUGAAAGUGAAGAAGAGGAAGAUGAUAUGAUACAUGCAACAUCAUCUACAUGUAGCCUUUUUUCGUUCUUCACGCAUCAUCAUCCUUCUUUUUCUUCUUUUUCUUUUUCUUCU